GACGAACGCUGGCGGCGUGCCUAAUACAUGCAAGUAGAACGCUGAAGAGAGGAGCUUGCUCUUCUUGGAUGAGUUGCGAACGGGUGAGUAACGCGUAGGUAACCUGCCUUGUAGCGGGGGAUAACUAUUGGAAACGAUAGCUAAUACCGCAUAACAAUGGAUGACCCAUGUCAUUUAUUUGAAAGGGGCAAAUGCUCCACUACAAGAUGGACCUGCGUUGUAUUAGCUAGUAGGUGAGGUAACGGCUCACCUAGGAGACGAUACAUAGCCGACCUGAGAGGGUGAUCGGCCACACUGGGACUGAGACACGGCCCCGACUCCUACGGGAGGCAGCAGUAGGGAAUCUUCGGCAAUGGGGGCAACCCUGACCGAGCAACGCCGCGUGAGUGAAGAAGGUUUUCGGAUCGUAAAGCUCUGUUGUAAGUCAAGAACGAGUGUGAGAGUGGAAAGUUCACACUGUGACGGUAGCUUAUCAGAAAGGGACGGCUAACUACGUG
rnacentral:rRNA from 1 species